GAUGAACGCUGGCGGCGUGCCUAAUACAUGCAAGUCGAGCGAAUGGAUUAAGAGCUUGCUCUUAUGAAGUUAGCGGCGGACGGGUGAGUAACACGUGGGUAACCUGCCCAUAAGACUGGGAUAACUCCGGGAAACCGGGGCUAAUACCGGAUAACAUUUUGAACCGCAUGGUUCGAAAUUGAAAGGCGGCUUCGGCUGUCACUUAUGGAUGGACCCGCGUCGCAUUAGCUAGUUGGUGAGGUAACGGCUCACCAAGGCAACGAUGCGUAGCCGACCUGGGAGGGUGAUAGGCCACACUGGGACUGAGACACGGCCCAGACUCCUACGGGAGGCAGCAGUAGGGAAUCUUCCGCAAUGGACGAAAGUCUGACGGAGCAACGCCGCGGGAGUGAUGAAGGCUUUCGGGUCGUAAAACUCUGUUGUUAGGAAAGAACAAGUGCUAGUUGAAUAAGCUGGCACCUUGACGGUACCUAACCAGAAAGCCACGGCUAACUACGUGCCAGCAGCCGCCGUAA
rnacentral:rRNA from 1 species